AGAGUUUGAUCAUGGCUCAGAUUGAACGCUGGCGGCAUGCUUUACACAUGCAAGUCGAACGGCAGCGCGGGGGCAACCCUGGCGGCGAGUGGCGAACGGGUGAGUAAUAUAUCGGAACGUACCCAGAAGUGGGGGAUAACGUAGCGAAAGUUACGCUAAUACCGCAUACGAUCUACGGAUGAAAGUGGGGGACCUUCGGGCCUCAUGCUUUUGGAGCGGCCGAUAUCUGAUUAGCUAGUUGGUGAGGUAAAGGCUCACCAAGGCGACGAUCAGUAGCUGGUCUGAGAGGACGACCAGCCACACUGGAACUGAGACACGGUCCAGACUCCUACGGGAGGCAGCAGUGGGGAAUUUUGGACAAUGGGGGCAACCCUGAUCCAGCAAUGCCGCGUGAGUGAAGAAGGCCUUCGGGUUGUAAAGCUCUUUUGUCAGGGAAGAAACGGGGGUGGCUAAUAUCUGCUCCUAAUGACGGUACCUGAAGAAUAAGCACCGGCUAACUACGUG
rnacentral:rRNA from 1 species